rnacentral:rRNA from 1 species
UACAGAGGUGGCAAGCGUUGUUCGGAAUUACUGGGCGUAAAGGGCGCGUAGGCGGCUAACUAAGUCAGACGUGAAAUCCCCAGGCUCAACCUGGGAACUGCGUCUGAUACUGGAUGGCUUGAAUCCGGGAGAGGGAUGCAGAAUUCCAGGUGUAGCGGUGAAAUGCGUAGAUAUCUGGAGGAAUACCGGUGGCGAAGGCGGCAUCCUGGACCGGCAUUGACGCUGAGGAGCGAAAGCCAGGGGAGCAAACGGG